GUGAGGAAUAUUGGUCAAUGGGCGGAAGCCUGAACCAGCCAAGUCGCGUGAGGGAAUAAGGCCCUAUGGGUCGUAAACCUCUUUUGUCGGGGAGCAAAGGCGUCCACGUGUGGGCGCAAGGAGAGUACCCGAAGAAAAAGCAUCGGCUAACUCCGUGCCAGCAGCCGCGGUAAUACGGAGGAUGCGAGCGUUAUCCGGAUUUAUUGGGUUUAAAGGGUGCGUAGGCGGAUUUGCAAGUCGGCGGUAAAAUGUCGGGGCUCAACCCCGGCCGGCCGUCGAAACUGUGAGUCUUGAGUGAGCGAGAAGCAGGCGGAAUGCGUGGUGUAGCGGUGAAAUGCAUAGAUAUCACGCAGAACCCCGAUUGCGAAGGCAGCCUGCCGGCGCUCAACUGACGCUGAGGCACGAAAGCGCGGGUAUCGAACAGGAUUAGAAACCCUAGUAGUCC
rnacentral:rRNA from 1 species